UGCAUGUCGAGCGGUAGCACAGAGAGCUUGCUCUCGGGUGACGAGCGGCGGACGGGUGAGUAAUGUCUGGGAAACUGCCUGAUGGAGGGGGAUAACUACUGGAAACGGUAGCUAAUACCGCAUAACGUCGCAAGACCAAAGUGGGGGACCUUCGGGCCUCAUGCCAUCAGAUGUGCCCAGAUGGGAUUAGCUAGUAGGUGGGGUAACGGCUCACCUAGGCGACGAUCCCUAGCUGGUCUGAGAGGAUGACCAGCCACACUGGAACUGAGACACGGUCCAGACUCCUACGGGAGGCAGCAGUGGGGAAUAUUGCACAAUGGGCGCAAGCCUGAUGCAGCCAUGCCGCGUGUAUGAAGAAGGCCUUCGGGUUGUAAAGUACUUUCAGCGGGGAGGAAGGCGAUAAGGUUAAUAACCUUGUCGAUUGACGUUACCCGCAGAAGAAGCACCGGCUAACUCCGUGCCAGCAGCCGCGGUAAUACGGAGGGUGCAAGCGUUAAUCGGAAUUACUGGGCGUAAAGCGCACGCAGGCGGUCUGUCAAGUCGGAUGUGAAAUCCCCGGGCUCAACCUGGGAACUGCAUUCGAAACUGGCAGGCUAGAGUCUUGUAGAGGGGGGUAGAAUUCCAGGUGUAGCGGUGAAAUGCGUAGAGAUCUGGAGGAAUACCGGUGGCGAAAGCGGCCCCCUGGACAAAGACUGACGCUCAGUGCGAAAGCGUGGGGAGCAAAACAGGAUUAGAUACCCUGGUAGUCCACGCCGUAAACGAUGUCGAUUUGGAGGUUGUGCCCUUGAGCGUGGCUUCCGGAGCUAACGCGUUAAAUCGACCGCCUGGGGGAGUACGGCCGCAAGGUGAAAACUCAAAUGAAUUUGACGGGGCCCGCACAAGCGGUGGAGCAUGGUGGUUUAAUU
rnacentral:rRNA from 1 species